rnacentral:rRNA from 1 species
AGUGAACGCUGGCGGUAGGCCUAACACAUGCAAGUCGAACGGCAGCACAGUAAGAGCUUGCUCUUACGGGUGGCGAGUGGCGGACGGGUGAGGAAUACAUCGGAAUCUACUUUUUCGUGGGGGAUAACGUAGGGAAACUUACGCUAAUACCGCAUACGACCUACGGGUGAAAGCAGGGGAUCUUCGGACCUUGCGCGAUUGAAUGAGCCGAUGUCGGAUUAGCUAGUUGGCGGGGUAAAGGCCCACCAAGGCGACGAUCCGUAGCUGGUCUGAGAGGAUGAUCAGACACAUUGGAACGGAGACACGGACCAGACCCCUACGGGAGGCAGCAGUGGGGACUAUUGCGCAGGGGGCGCAGGCCUGUACCGCCAAUGCCGGGUGGGUGAAAAUGGUCUGAGGGUUGUAAAGCCGUUUUGUGGGGAAAGAAAGAAGGCAAAUUAUGCCCCGGGUUUGUUGACGGGCCACGAAGAAUAAGCCCCGGCUAACUCCGUG